rnacentral:lncRNA from 1 species
GUCAGUUCCUGUUGGCAGAGUUUCACAGGGUUCUCUACUCUCCGGGAAAGGAUCUUCUAGGGAAGUCAGGACCCAAUGAUGCCAAGAGUAUGAUCAAAUAUUAGAGCUGGAACAUGAGGAAGAAGGAUUUCAUAUUAUUGAAUGGUGAGGAUUCUAAGGGCAAGGGAGUUCACAUGGUUUUCCCAAGGUCACAUACAUGAUUACCAUACCAUCUGUGGGGAGAGAGACACUCAGCUGACCAGGGAACUCAUACAAUGGGCCACAUGCAUAGAGACCUUCAUCAAGCCAAGUCAUACUCUUGAAUGGCUGCACCACUUCUCCAGAUCACAUAAGGCCAGGAUACCUUCCUCCUUUUAUGCUCCAGAGUUGGUGAUGUCAUUGAAUAAAUUGCUUUUUCCAUUAAGCUGCUAUUCCUGUAUAUCACUUUCUGUUAGGUUUCUUUUUUAUCUGCUGGGUAUCUUCAUCAUUGUUAUCAUUUUAUGCUACCAUAUCCUGGUCUAAGACUAGUGUCCUGGCU